rnacentral:rRNA from 1 species
AUUGAACGCUGGCGGCAGGCCUAACACAUGCAAGUCGAACGAGUGGCGGACGGGUGAGUAAUGUCUGGGAAACUGCCUGAUGGAGGGGGAUAACUACUGGAAACGGUAGCUAAUACCGCAUACCAUCAGAUGUGCCCAGAUGGGAUUAGCUAGUUGGUGGGGUAACGGCUCACCUAGGCGACGAUCCCUAGCUGGUCUGAGAGGAUGACCAGCCACACUGGAACUGAGACACGGUCCAGACUCCUACGGGAGGCAGCAGUGGGGAAUAUUGCACAAUGGGCGAAAGCCUGAUGGAGCCAUGCCGCGUGUAUGAAGAAGGCCUUCGGAUUGUAAAGCACUUUUAGCAGGGAAGCGUUACCUGCAGAAGAAGCAACGGCUAACUCCGUGCCAGCAGCCGCGGUAAUAC